rnacentral:rRNA from 1 species
GGCAAAUGCAAAAUUAACUGGGAGCAAGUUUGUAGGCCAAAACAGUUUGGGGGCCUCAGAAUCCUCAAUCUGAAGAAGUUCGCCACCGCUCUCCGCCUUAGGUGGCUUUGGCUGGAGUGGGAUGACCCGCCAAGAACAUGGUGUGGUUCUGAGAUCCCUUGUGGCAAGGAAGAUCGGGACAUUUUC